rnacentral:rRNA from 1 species
GCUACACAUGCAAGUCGAGCGGUAGAGAGAAGCUUGCUUCUCUUGAGAGCGGCGGACGGGUGAGUAAUGCCUAGGAAUCUGCCUGGUAGUGGGGGAUAACGUUCGGAAACGGACGCUAAUACCGCAUACGUCCUACGGGAGAAAGCAGGGGACCUUCGGGCCUUGCGCUAUCAGAUGAGCCUAGGUCGGAUUAGCUAGUUGGUGGGGUAAUGGCUCACCAAGGCGACGAUCCGUAACUGGUCUGAGAGGAUGAUCAGUCACACUGGAACUGAGACACGGUCCAGACUCCUACGGGAGGCAGCAGUGGGGAAUAUUGGACAAUGGGCGAAAGCCUGAUCCAGCCAUGCCGCGUGUGUGAAGAAGGUCUUCGGAUUGUAAAGCACUUUAAGUUGGGAGGAAGGGUUGUAGAUUAAUACUCUGCAAUUUUGACGUUACCGACAGAAUAAGCACCGGCUAACUCUGUGCCAGCAGCCGCGGUAAUACAGAGGGUGCAAGCGUUAAUCGGAAUUACUGGGCGUAAAGCGCGCGUAGGUGGUUUGUUAAGUUGGAUGUGAAAUCCCCGGGCUCAACCUGGGAACUGCAUUCAAAACUGACUGACUAGAGUAUGGUAGAGGGUGGUGGAAUUUCCUGUGUAGCGGUGAAAUGCGUAGAUAUAGGAAGGAACACCAGUGGCGAAGGCGACCACCUGGACUAAUACUGACACUGAGGUG